UAAAGAAAGCGUAAUAGCUCACUGGUCGAGUCGGCCUGCGCGGAAGAUGUAACGGGGCUAAACCAUGCACCGAAGCUGCGGCAGCGACACUAUGUGUUGUUGGGUAGGGGAGCGUUCUGUAAGCCGUUGAAGGUGUGCUGUGAGGCAUGCUGGAGGUAUCAGAAGUGCGAAUGCUGACAUAAGUAACGAUAAAGCGGGUGAAAAGCCCGCUCGCCGGAAGACCAAGGGUUCCUGUCCAACGUUAAUCGGGGCAGG
rnacentral:rRNA from 1 species